AUUGAACGCUGGCGGCAUGCUUUACACAUGCAAGUCGAACGGCAGCGCGGGCUUCGGCCUGGCGGCGAGUGGCGAACGGGUGAGUAAUACAUCGGAACGUGCCCAGCAGUGGGGGAUAGCUCGGCGAAAGCCGGAUUAAUACCGCAUACGACCUGAGGGUGAAAGCGGGGGAUCUUCGGACCUCGCGCUAUUGGAGCGGCCGAUGGCAGAGUAGCUAGUUGGUGGGGUAAAGGCCUACCAAGGCGACGAUCUGUAGCUGGUCUGAGAGGACGACCAGCCACACUGGGACUGAGACACGGCCCAGACUCCUACGGGAGGCAGCAGUGGGGAAUUUUGGGCAAUGGGCGAAAGCCUGAUCCAGCAAUGCCGCGUGUGUGAUGAAGGCCUUCGGGUUGUAAAGCACUUUUGGCGGGAACGAAAAGGACUGUGCCAAUACCACGGUUCGAUGACGGUACCCGCAGAAUAAGCACCGGCUAACUACGUG
rnacentral:rRNA from 1 species